ACUGACUGCUGUCUCUGUUCCAUUUUUCUCAGUUUGUCAGAAAACCAGUCCCUACUGAAGAUGCCUCCAUGGGCGAACAUGUGGCUGGUUGGAGCCAUUUGCUUAUCCAUGGCCCUCCAUUUCCUUAUUCUUUAUGUGGACCCUUUACCGGUGAUCUUCCAGAUACGGCCACUGAGCACAAUCCAGUGGGUGACCGUCCUGAAGAUGUCCAUUCCUGUGAUUUUGAUCGAUGAGGUGCUUAAAUUUUUGGCCCGCAAUUACGUAGACCCCGGCCGUGACCUCGAGCAAGAGGAAGAGGAGGCAGCAGCACGACAUGGGCAGCGACAAAGCAGCCCGCUAAACAGGCUGCAGCGAUCCUUGCGGGGGGUGUCCUGGUCCUUUGUCUUGAUUGUCACUCCUCUUCUGGUCUGGCUAUAUAGCCUGGACACCGACAUCACCAACAUCUUUUGGUCUUAAAGAUGGCCGCUCUGGAAAUAUGAAUGAGAAUGGCAUUGUGUACCCUGUGCAUGGACAAGCCUGUCUGUGCCCCCGCAAUACAGCAUGCAACACGUGUGAAGCUUUACUGUCCAUAACCUGGCGUUAAAACAUCCUGGACAGCCUGGCUGUGCCCAGCACAAAGCAAACAAUGCCUUGUUAACCGCCAGAAAAAAAGCAAGCUGCAAGAACAAGGGAUUUUACUUUUUUGUGCUUUUUUUUUUGUUAAUUUGUUUUGUAUCUUUUUACUUUGUUAAAAAAAAAAAAUAUUUAUUGAUAAUCAAUCCAUCCACAGAUAGAUACAUUCCAUUUAAAGCAGAGCUCUUACCGAGCUGUUAUUCCUUGAGUUGAAGAGGCCAAGUUUUAGGGGCCUGUUAUGGGUCACCACUAAAAUCUAACUCUCCUAAUCCUCUCCUCAGUAGGGACAUUCAGCAUUACAAAGUCCCCUCCACAUCUGAGGGUCUACCAUCAUCUAAUUGCUGUCCUCUUUCUACACUCCUUGGUGUGUCCAUAAGCAUGUGUUUCUCACAUGGCAUGAUGCAAGGUGAGUUUAAAGCUUAUCUUGGCAAAGUUACAUUCAGAGCAGAGGUCCAUUUUGCUGGCUUUCAGCGUCCGGACCGAUUUGCUACAGCACUUCACAGAUUGCUUUAAAUUCCCGUAAGACUUGGUCCUGUCAGCCGAAGGAAACCUCCCAUUUUGAUCCUUCUUGGCUAUAAAGGUUGAUCUCGGAUACCCUCCCUGCCUGUUUAGACUUGGGUUUCUAUCCCUGUAUAAGUUAGCUAGAACAUCUUGUCAGGACCAUCUUAGUCUGUUUGCUUUGCUCAGCAAAUAUGAGCUUAUGCCCUCCUAUCCAAGUUGGCUGUUAUACUUGGGUAUACAUUUUAAAUUAAUCCCAGUAACCUCCCUGGUUGAGUCAUUCAUUCAUUUCCUCUAACCUCCCAGCCUGGUUUAAUUAGCUAUGGUUACCUUCACAGGUCCAUCUCAUUUUAAUUCUUCAUGUGGUUAGGCCUACCAACCUACAGAUUGCACUUAAAUAUCUGCAGUGCUUUAACUCUUCCACCCAACCAACCUUGACUCAUCUUCUUACUUGUGAAGCUUAGUCUGUUCCAUCCUAAUAACAUCCCAGUCUGAUCUUUCUUUGGUAUAAUCAUAAUGACCUUCCUGGUUGGGCCAUUCAUUCAUUUCAUUUAAGCUCCUAGUCUGGUUUAAUAAGACAAAGUGCCUACUGAGGUCCAUCUCAUUUAAGCAUGUUGUGUGGUUAGGCCUUCAAACCGACAGAUUGCACUUAAAUAUCUGUAGUGCUUUAACUCAUCAACUCAACCAGACUAGCUUGAUCCUCCGAGCUACGGAGCUUAGGCUGGUCCAUCCCAAUAACCUUCCAGUCCAAACUUUCAUAGGUUUGAAGCUUAGUCAGGUUAAUCUCUUUAAUCUUCCCAGUUGGCCAUUCAUUAAUUUCCUACAAGCUCCCAACCCGGGUUUUAAUACCUAUAGUGCCUACUCAGGUCCAUCUCGGUUUAAUGCUUUGGGUAGUUAGGCUUACCAACUUCUGAAUCACACUUCAAUAUCUGUAGUGCUUUAUCUCAUCCACCCAACCAACAUACAGUAGACCCGUCUUCCUACCUAUGAAACUUAGUUUGGCCCAUCCUAAUAACAUCCCAGUCAGAUCUUUCUUCUAUUUGUCUUGGUAAACAUUCUGUCUGAUCCUACUACUUAUGGGAAAUUGCCACCCAUACAAAAAAUGUGAAAACAAAUCAGAAACCAUUUAUGGAAAACAAAAAAUAAUCAUAAAUGUACAAAAAUAUGGUUGCAUAAGAGUGUACACCCCUAAACUAAUAUGUUGUUGAAGCGGCUUAUGAUUGAUUGUAUUGCAGUACUCGGUCUAUCAGCUUGGCACAUCUUGACUCGGCAAUAUCUUCCCCUUCUUCCUUGCAAAAAUGUCCGCGAUCCAUCAGAUUACAAAGGCAUUUCCUGUGCACAGCCCUCUUCAGGUCAUGCCGCAGAUUUUUAACUGGAUUUAUUCAGGUCUGGGCUCAGGAUAGUCUAUUCUGCUUAUAGAACGUCAGUCUUUUGGCGAAGUCAUUCCUUUGAGGAUUUGGAUGUAGGCUUUGGGUUGUUGUCAUGCUGAAAGGUGAAAUUCUGCUUCAUCUUCAACUUCCUAGCAGACAUUUGAAGGUUUUGCUCCAAAAUCAACUGGUCCACCUUGACUAAAGCCACAGUCCCUGCUGAAGAAGCGCAUGAUGCUCUCACCACCAUGCCUCAUCGUUUGCAUGCUGUACUUUUGGUGAUGUUCUGUUUUAUUUUUGCAACAAACUUACAUUUUGGAACAAUGGCCAGGAAGUUCAAUCCUACUUUCAUCACAUUUUUCUGCAUGGUUUUGGUAGACUUGGAUGUAUCAAGCUGGGCUUGGAUGUUGCUCUUCAUGAGACAAGACUUCAAUUUUGUCGCCUUUCCCUAUAGCCGAGACAUGUAAAGAAUACAGGAAAUUGUUGUCACAUGUAGGGAGCAACCAGAACUUGCCAGGAAGUCCUGCAGCUCCUUUAAUAUUGCCGUAGGCCUCUUGGCAGUCUCCCCAGCCAGUUUUCUCCUUGUUCUUCUUAUCUCCUUCUUAGUUUGGAAGGAAUAUCCAGUUUUUGGUGGCAUCGCUGCUGUGCUAUAUUUUCUCUAUUUGUUGAUGAAUGUCUUCACUGUGUUCGUUGGUAUAUCUAAUGAUUUUGUUUUUUCUUUUGUACCCGUAAUCAGUACCUUUUAAUAAUGAGAUCUUGGUCGUGUUUUGAAAGCUCUUUAUGGACCAUGUCUUUUAGAGUAGGAAUGCAACCAAGAAGAUUUCAGGAUGAUCCUACAGGAAGAGCUGAACUUUAUUUGGAGGCAAUCCGUUAUUUUAAUUCAUGGCAGUUGUAAACUGUUGUUUAACAUGAGAUUGAAUGUAUUUGGUUGACUCUAAACACAGCCACAUCCUUAAUUAUAAUAUUUCUGUGCAAACUUCUGUGCACGCUUAUGCAACCAAGUCUUUGUAAGGUUUUUAAUUUUGAUUUUAAUUUUUUUAUUCGUUUUUUUCUUAAAGCUUACUGAUUUGUUUUUACCUACUUUGUAUAGGUCGCUCUGUCUUAGUGGUGCAGUUCAAGUAUCUCGUGAUCUGGGAAAAGGGAACGCAAGUGGAUUGGAGUGGCGGGCUGCUGUUCUGUGGACGCUUUACCGGUUCGUGACGCUGAAAUCUUAAGACAAAACUCUGUUUCCCGGUCAAUCUACAUUCCUGUCCUUAACUAUGGUCAUGAUUUGUGGGUAAUGACCAAAACAAAGAGAUCAAAAGUACAAGCAGCAGAAAUGAGGCCUCGUCACAGGGCCACUAUGUUGACAAUCUGUAAUAGGGUGUGAAGCUUAGGGAUUUGGGAGAACCUCAGCAUAGAAUCGCUACUCCUAUGGAUCUAGAGGACCUAGUGGAGGUGGUUUGGACAUGUUGUAAGGAUACACCCCCAGGCAGUUCCCCUAGAGUACUCUUGCUACAACCCACUAGGCGGAGACACUGAGGCAGACCCAGGACACACUGGAGGGAUUAUAUCUCUCAGCUGGCUUGGGAACACCUUGGAAUUUUCCAGUUAGAGCUGAAAUCUGUAGCUGGCGACAGGGAAGUCUGGGCUGACCCGUUAGUCCAGUGUGGCCCUCACCAGGAAAAGCAAUUUGAAAAAAUUGAGAUGAUUUCUCUUUUUACAUCACAAAAGCCUACAUUUUCAAUAGGGACAUGUUCACUGUAUAGCCCCCAUCAUUUUUCCAGAAAUUUCCAAUCAGGGCCUUUAUUUACUUAGCAAGUCAUGAAUAGUCUCCUCACGUGCAUGUGACUACCGAUCAUGUAGUGUGACAUCCACAUUGACUUAGUUGUAGUGCUCUGCGACUACCAACAACAAUUUGUCUCAAGUUGUGUGAGAGAUGACCACCAAUGUAUACAAAGACCACACAUUGAGAAGAACUCUCUAUUUGGUGGCUUCAAGCAAUGGUGGUCUCAAGAAACUAAGGAAAAUGUGAGUUCUGAACUGCACACUUCAUGGAGGUUAGGGAGCCGGCUCGGAUGUCUCGCAAUUGUCUCGUCUUUGUCAUGCCACAUGUGGAAAAAGGAAAAAAUACACUGUCCAUUGAUUGGCUUCCAAAAGGUGUCAACCUCUUGAUAAUUUCACCGAGCAACACGAAAAUUUCAAACUCUGCAAGCAUUGAGCUUGAUACUCCCUUCCAGUUGAUGUCAGGGGCCAUAAACAUAUCUUUCCAUCAUGACACUUAGUCUGGUCUAUCCAGGUAAUGUUUCAACUUCUGGUUUGUCCAGUCAGUCUGGUUUUUGUAAGAGAGAAUCGAUGAGACUAAGUCCCCUAAGUGAAGGUCCAGCCUGAAUUUCCUUAACUAGGAAGCUUGGUCCUAACGUAAUCUUCCUAUCUGUUAGACUUAUUCUUACCAUUCCCAGUGACCUCCAUUGUCAGGUAGUCCUUGUUAUGAAGUUUGAUGUUCCACCCAAGGCGUUCAGCUGUUGUCCCAGCAUCUCUUUAGACUAGGAGGUUCUCUGUUUAGACCUAACGGCGCCCAAGCCGAGUACUGAUUGGUCAGGGAGGAUCUCAGACCAGGUCUUAUUGUUUUUGGUGAAGUGCUGACCGUGUAACUGGUAACAUCAAGGUGGACCUGAUCUGAAGUCAGGUCUGAUGGUUUUCUGUGAAGUGUUGACCAAUUGACCGGUAACAUCAGGAUGGAGCUGAUCUCCGAUCAGGUCUGAUGGUUUUCUGUGAAGUGCUGACCAAGUGACAUGGUGUAUAGGGUGGAUAGCAACAUCGCCACACGUAAAACAAACACUACUCAUGGGGUCUGCUGUUGCAGCCUUCGGCUAUUAGUUGACAACUUGCAUUUCACUUUGUGAACAUAAUGAAGGGCUGAUUUUUUUUUUUUAAUCCUAGCUGAAACGAUAGUUUCUGUUCCAUCUGUCUUGGUUCUAUUUAUCAUUUCACACAUUCCCAAAAAGUUUUGAGUGCACCACAUUUCUGAAAACAGUAAACUUAUACCCUUUUUUUCUUAAUUUGUCUUAACUGUACAGCAGCUUCAUCAAUAUUAUAAGAAAUGGAAUUUGUUUAAUAAUUAAA